rnacentral:pre_miRNA from 1 species
UUUGUACUCCCUCCGUCCAGAAAUACUUGUCAUCAAAAUGGAUGAAAAUGGAUGUAUCUACAACUAAAAUACAUCUAGAUACAUCCAUUUCAAUGACAAGUAUUUUUGGACGGAGGGAGUACUAG